rnacentral:rRNA from 1 species
ACGGGUCCACGCUUGCUGGAUGCCGACGAGCGGCGGACGGGUGAGUAAUGCAUAGGAAUCUGCCCAGUCGUGGGGGAUAACCUGGGGAAACCCAGGCUAAUACCGCAUACGUCCUACGGGAGAAAGCGGGGGCUUCGUGUUCUUCGGAAUGGGGACCUCGCGCGAUUGGAUGAGCCUAUGUCGGAUUAGCUGGUUGGUGAGGUAACGGCUCACCAAGGCGACGAUCCGUAGCUGGUCUGAGAGGAUGAUCAGCCACACCGGGACUGAGACACGGCCCGGACUCCUACGGGAGGCAGCAGUGGGGAAUAUUGGACAAUGGGCGCAAGCCUGAUCCAGCCAUGCCGCGUGUGUGAAGAAGGCUUUCGGGUUGUAAAGCACUUUCAGUGGGGAAGAAGGCCUGGCGGUCAAUACCCGCCAGGGACGACAUCACCCACAGAAGAAGCACCGGCUAACUCCGUGCCAGCAGCCGCGGUAAUACGGAGGGUGCGAGCGUUAAUCGGAAUUACUGGGCGUAAAGCGCGCGUAGGCGGCCAAGUAAGCCGGUUGUGAAAGCCCCGGGCUCAACCUGGGAAUGGCAUCCGGAACUGGUUGGCUAGAGUGCAG